GCCGCUGUGGCGAAAUGGCAGACGCAGCAGAUUUAAAAUCUGCUGGGGCGUAAAGUCCCGUGUGGGUUCGAGUCCCACCAGCGGUA
rnacentral:tRNA from 1 species